UCCAGAGGGUGCAAGCGUUAAUCGGAAUUACUGGGCGUAAAGCGUGCGUAGACGGUUACGUAAGUCGGGUGUGAAAGCCCCGGGCUCAACCUGGGAAUUGCAUUCGAGACUGUGUAGCUAGGGUGCGGAAGAGGGAAGCGGAAUUUCCGGUGUAGCGGUGAAAUGCGUAGAUAUCGGAAGGAACAUCAGUGGCGAAAGCGGCUUCCUGGGCCAGCACCGACGUUCAGGCACGAAAGCGUGGGGAGCAAACAGG
rnacentral:rRNA from 1 species